CAUACAACUCUUGUCUCAAUUUUACAAGAAUGAUUCCAGGGCUGAGUGGGUUAGCAUAUGAUGAGCAUUUGCCAGCACUGAGCCUCUACUCGUUGGCGUUUAGAAGGUUAAGGGGAAACCUCAUUGAAACUUACAGAAUAAUGAAAGG